rnacentral:rRNA from 1 species
UACGAAGGGGGCUAGCGUUGCUCGGAAUCACUGGGCGUAAAGGGCGCGUAGGCGGCCAUUCAAGUCGGAGGUGAAAGCCCAGGGCUCAACCCUGGAAUUGCCUUCGAUACUGUUUGGCUAGAGACCGGAAGAGGUAAGUGGAACUGCGAGUGUAGAGGUGAAAUGCGCAGAUAUCAGGAGGAACACCAAUGGCGAAGGCAGCACUCUGGGACGUGACUGACGCUGAGACGCGAAAGCGUGGGGAGCAAACAGG